rnacentral:rRNA from 1 species
UACGGAGGGUGCGAGCGUUGUCCGGAAUCACUGGGCGUAAAGGGCGCGUAGGCGGCCUCUUAAGUCAGUGGUGAAAGCCCGGGGCUCAACCCCGGAACCGCCAUUGAUACUGGGAGGCUUGAGUACAGACGAGGUAGGCGGAAUUGAGGGUGUAGCGGUGAAAUGCGUAGAGAUCGGGAGGAACAUCUGUGGCGAAGGCGGCCAUCUGGACCAGCACUGACACUGAGGCACGAAAGCGUGGGGAGCAAACAGG